rnacentral:lncRNA from 1 species
ACUAGUGGAUGCUUUAAAUUCAUUUGAGAGCAAUUGAAGGACAUACAUGCGUGAGAUAGUUUUGGCUGCACUUGGGCCCAGGAUGAAGGCCCAACACAGGGUUCAAAACAUACUAUUAGAGCCAGAAUGAAUUACGAUUUAAGACCAAUCACAAUUACAACUUGAAUAACUCAGUGGAAAUGCACUAGUAAAAAUAGGUCAACAACUAAUUACAAGAGUAUUUAGGCAGUCCAGUAACUCAUUGAACCAGGAUUCAUUGUUUGAGUCAUGGUCUUACAAGAUUGCAAAUAUUUACUGGAGUUCUAAAGUUAAAGGAACCACGAGAAACAAAUAGUGUUUAGCCUUCAUAAGCAUACAAUAUCUACUCUGAACUAUGGAUACAAUUAAUACUCAAAUAAGGCAUGUCUAAGUAUUAAGGUAAGUAUGCAUCACUUUUAAAAAGGACAUGAAACAGGAAAGAAACAUAUCGAUAACUAACAGUUGAUACUAAACAUCAAAACAUUUAUUCCAUUUCUCGACUUCCAACUUGCAGAUUGACACUGUUUGAGUUUCAGAGGUGUACCUGAAGUUUAAAGGACCAAAGAAACGAAGGAGAUUCAGUAAUAUCAUCAAUAGAGACCAAUGAUAACAACAGCUUAGCCCAGAUUUAAUACUUGAAAUCCUAAAUAUAUUUUAAACCCGAUAUAACAACACAAUUAUCUUGCAACUUGACUCAAGCAAGACAGAAAACAUCCUACGCUCCAGUAUCAUACCAACCAUAAACACUUAUUGACCAAAGGUUGCUUUAGUAGCUUGGGAAUUUGGAAGUUAAAGAGGAAAAUCAAUGUAAUAGUGGAAUUUUAUAGCUGUUUUGAUUUUUCUCUAUUUCUCGCUCUCCUCUCUCCUAGGUCUAUGAAACAGUAAUAUUUUAUGCAACCCUUUUAAUUUUCUAAAUUUCAGCUCUUCCAAAACUUACUUGCAAGGCAAGCACCCAAUGAUUUUAUAGGCAAUUGAGUCAGGCAAACUUCAGAAUUAAUUUUUUGCCCUUUACCCCUUUUUGAAUUUUUGUUUUAACUAAGUUACCCCCUAAAUUCCUGACUUGUUAUCCAAGU